GCAUGACUUGAUUAUGAAAGAUUUAUCGCUUAUGGAUGGACUCGCGUCAGAUUAGAUAGUUGGUGAGGUAACGGCUCACCAAGUCAACGAUCUGUAGCCGAACUGAGAGGUUGAUCGGCCGCAUUGGGACUGAGACACGGCCCAGACUCCUACGGGAGGCAGCAGUGGGGAAUAUUGCGCAAUGGGGGCAACCCUGACGCAGCAACGCCGCGUGCAGGAAGAAGGUCUUCGGAUUGUAAACUGUUGUCGCAAGGGAAGAAGACAGUGACGGUACCUUGUGAGAAAGUCACGGCUAACUACGUGCCAGCAGCCGCGGUAAUACGUAGGUGACAAGCGUUGUCCGGAUUUACUGGGUGUAAAGGGCGCGUAGGCGGACUGUCAAGUCAGUCGUGAAAUACCGGGGCUUAACCCCGGGGCUGCGAUUGAAACUGACAGCCUUGAGUAUCGGAGAGGAAAGCGGAAUUCCUAGUGUAGCGGUGAAAUGCGUAGAUAUUAGGAGGAACACCAGUGGCGAAGGCGGCUUUCUGGACGACAACUGACGCUGAGGCGCGAAAGUGUGGGGAGCAAACAGGAUUAGAUACCCUGGUAGUCCACACCGUAAACGAUGGAUACUAGGUGU
rnacentral:rRNA from 1 species